rnacentral:rRNA from 1 species
AACGUAGGAGACAAACGUUAUCCGGAGUUACUGGGCGUAAAGGGCGUGUAGGUGGUUUCGUAAGUCUGGCGUGAAAUUUUCGGCUUAACCGGGAAAGGUCGUCGGAUACUGCGGAACUAGAGGACGGUAGAGGCGUGUGGAAUUCCGGGUGUAGUGGUGAAAUGCGUAGAGAUCCGGAGGAACACCAGUGGCGAAGGCGACACGCUGGGCCGUACCUGACACUGAUGCGCGACAGCAUGGGGAGCAAACAGGAUUAGAAACCGGGACGGUCAGACCAA